rnacentral:rRNA from 1 species
AAGUCGAACGGAUCCUUCGGGAUUAGUGGCGGACGGGUGAGUAACACGUGGGAACGUGCCCUUUGGUUCGGAACAACUCAGGGAAACUUGAGCUAAUACCGGAUGUGCCCUUCGGGGGAAAGAUUUAUCGCCAUUGGAGCGGCCCGCGUCUGAUUAGCUAGUUGGUGGGGUAAAGGCCCACCAAGGCGACGAUCAGUAGCUGGUCUGAGAGGAUGAUCAGCCACAUUGGGACUGAGACACGGCCCAA